GACGGAGGGGGCUAGCGUUGUUCGGAAUGACUGGGCGUAAAGGGCGCGUAGGCGGCCGAUCAAGUCAGGCGUGAAAGCCUCAGGCUUAACCUGAGAACUGCGCUUGAUACUGGUUGGCUAGAGAACGAGAGAGGAAAGCGGAAUUCCGAGUGUAGAGGUGAAAUUCGUAGAUAUUCGGAAGAACACCAGUGGCGAAGGCGGCUCACUGGACCGGUAUUGACGCUGAGGUGCGAAAGCGUGGGGAGCAAACAGG
rnacentral:rRNA from 1 species